UCCCCGGCAACAGUGCGCGUGACUUGGCAACGGUGUCACGGGUUUUGAAUAAUUUCCGCUGCGUAGCGCUUUCGUCAGUGUCAUCUGUUUAUGUUGUGAUAAGGUUGUUAUUAUGUUGUAGUUUGCUGGAAAGACGAAGAUUUUAAAGUUUUGUGCCCUUAAAGAGGAGAAAAGGUGCUAAAGCUAAUGUGAAACACGGUCCUAAGAUAUCUUGGUUGCCUGAAAUAGCAGAAAAGUCUACAGCUAGCAUGAUUUGCAGAAGCCAAGGACGUGAUUUACCUGUUUGAAAUUUUGGAGAUUCAACCUACAUUUUCAAGAAGUAAGGAAAGCUGCCAUAUCUGCAGCUAAGCAUUUACUGACACCUUUUCUGAUUGAAGAAUCGUGGUGGGCUACUCAAAUUUUUAACAAAAGAUUUGGAGUGCAGAUUCCUUCCAGUUAAAGGCGCUUCGUCGAAAGUGUUAACAUCUCAUGCUUUUGUUGAAAUUAUCAUGAAGUCCGGAUGCCUUUUUUAUUUUAGUUUGUAAUAUUUUAUAUACUGUCAUAAACCAUGUUAAAAUCAAAUGAAAAUUAAAUAAUUUCAAAGUUUCAUGUUCCCAAA